UCAAGCUCCAUUUCAAAGGUGAGGAGUGAACCUUCUGGCUGAUUCAAUAUCGCUCAGGGUUCCAAACCAGAAGCAAAGAUUCUUUUCUACGAUACACUGGAAUCGGAUCUAUCCCUUCCUCCCCCAUGGCUUCGCCGGGAUUUCAGCCAAAUAAUACCAACCACAGAUCUUUCUUUGAUCACAAGCUCGGCCAAAUAGUGGGCAUCGUGGUCAUGGUUGUGGUGGUCGUUGUCUGCGCCAUCUUCAUGGCUGUCAAAUGUAUAAAGAUGGUCAAAGUCAUCCGCCACAAUCGCUCCAUGGCAAGGGUCGCUUCCGAGCCGCUGGAGCCACCACAAGGAGAGGCUAUGCAUCAAGACAUGCAUACAAGUUCCCAAAGCAUAAGUUGAGCACGAUGCCCACUAUUUGGCCGAGCUUGUGAUCAAAGAACGAACUGCCGUUGGUACUUGACUGAAUUUCCCCAGAGGCCAUGGGGGAGGAAGGGAUAGACUCGAUUCCAGUGUAUCGUAGAAAAGAAACUUUGCUUCUGGUUUGGAACCCUGAGCGAUAUUGAAUCAGCCAGAAGGUUCACUCCUCACCUUUGAAAUGGAGCUUGAGCUGCUAAUAAAUAAGUGAAUACCCUAUUUUAGAGAUCAUAAAAGUGGAAAAUAAAACCAACUGUACAGAAAAUUUACGUAUGUGCCUGUUGUGUGAUGGGUUUUCUUUUCUGCUAUGGGGUGUCUGCGGGAGAAAACUAGCAGCAAAGAAAUUAAAAGGGACUUGAAUAUCAACAUAUUCAUCUUAUCCACCGUUA